CACGGUCCUGAAACACCCGCCCAUCAAGGGUGCAGCUUCCGCCCGUGCCUGCGACAGAGGGGCAGGUCAGACGGUGACACAAACACAGAUCUAAUCCGCCGCGUCCACACGAAGAGCAAAUAUCCACUUUGCAAAAUCAGAAGAAAAGGCUGGUUGAGAAGCUCCACAAAAGAGAUGAUGAGACUUACUGUCGUCCUCGCCCUGGGCCCUCACCAAGAGCGCCGCUGCGCUGAGCAGCAGCGCCAGCCGCAAAUCCACAAAGCUGAACAUAUCUAGAUGCCUCUAGACAUGUAGACUCUUUGAGGCAAGAGAGGAAAAAGUUGGGGGUGUCUUCUCUUUCUGCUACACUCCACUCAUACAC